AAAAGGUAAAUCUCAAUUAAUUAGAUAGAUCCACGAUUUUCGUAUAAAAAGUCAAAGUAACAAAUAAUAAUAAUAUACUAAUAAACUAUAAUGAAGAAGAAGGUUACAGACAUCGAUUGCAAUGGAGAGCAAGGCAGCAGUUGGACAUGUUUGGACUUUGGAGAAUGGAGGGAAGGAAGAGUUCGACAAUAUAUGAGAAAACGUGAAAGGUCGUUUUCGUUUAUGAUCUUCCCUCUUGUUUAAAAAAGGAAACUACAGAAUAUAAAGAAAACCAAAUCAGUAGCAAAUUGCUUCCAUUUUCUCGCACUGUGUUCUGCUUCUUCUAUCAAAUGCAGCCAUUGGACAACCUGAAAGGUCUACUUUAACAUCAGAUUGCUCUAUAAACGUUCUCCAAGCCUCUGGAAGGGGUUCCCCAUUUCGCAAAUGCUGACAAAUUUCAUAGAUCAAAGAACGACCAUGAUCAAUUGAUGCACUUUGGGAGCAUGAUGUGGCUCUGAUAACAUCCACCUCAGAACAUCUAAGCAUCAAGGUAUGGGAAUUCAGUUUCAUCCCAUGGUCUGGUGCAGUCAAGUGCUAUGUCACGAGUGGCUUCAUCGGUUGGAACUGCUCGGACUUGCAGCUGGAAAAUGUAGCGGACCCCACCAGGUGAACUUACUCGCCUAUGGAAGUCUUCAGCAAGGAAAAGUAAGGGGCGAGUGUCUUUAUCAUCCCUUGGAAUUGCACCAGUUUCUGGUGGGAGAAUUCCCGUAGGCUCCACCUUACCCGAAUCCUCAGU